GAGUGCUACAGCCCUUUUAAAAUUUGUCUAGCAAGUUUUCCAGUUUUCACUGGAACCUCCA
ensembl:snRNA U7 U7 small nuclear RNA